AUAAAUUCAGGUGAUGGAGUUCACCUUUAAAUGCAUUGAGCUAAUGACUCCUACUUUAAU
rnacentral:ncRNA from 2 species